CGCCUUUCAGGGUAACCUGUCUGGUGACAGAGCAGAAGUCAGCAGACGUCAUAGUAGCCAAACGCCGGGAGUAAUGUCCCGGACAUGGUGAAGGAC
rfam:Desulfobacter postgatei 2ac9 chromosome, whole genome shotgun sequence.